rnacentral:tmRNA from 1 species
UCACUUUUCAUUCAGCUUCAAGCGCCUAUAUGGGUGCUUGCCGGUUUCGAUCGGCUAUGGCGAUAAAGUGUGUUGUGCAAUAGGCGCAGCGGACCCGGGGGCAGUACCCGGCGGCUCCACCAUAAACCGCAGUUUUCUGCGGCUCAUGACGGGGCCGAACCAGGAUCGACGUGUGUUGAAAGACAGCGCUUUCGCCCGGGCUGAGUAACCCGUUAAAGGCUCAAAACUCAUAAGUGCCAACGAUAACGAAGCACUUGCUCUUGCUGCGUAAUUGAUGCCCUAACGGGCUGACAUUACACAAAUAGAACGCGGCCGGGUCGGCCGGGCAACAGAAAGACUACAGCGGUUUGGGGGGCACCGGGCAACAGAAGCCUCCCACU